GAUCUAAUCAUGAACUAACUUUUUGCCCAUUUAGGUAGUUGGAGGCUUUUGGUACUUCUUUUCUAUUCAACGAGAGAUAUCAUGUUGGGACCAAUCUUGUAGAAAUGGUAUAGGAUGUGGUGGACCUACUUAUUAUUGCAGUGGCAGCACUUCACGAGAUAUCACAUUCCUAAAUGAGUUAUGCCCUAUAAAUCCACAGAAUACUACAAUAUUUAAUUUUGGAAUAUUUUUUGAUGCUAUUCAAUCUGGAAGCACGAGGUCAAUACAUUUUCCAACCAAGUUCUUUUACUGUAUAUGGUGGGGCGUCAAAAAUCUAAGUAACUUCGGCACGAAUCUGGAAACAAGUAGCUAUGUAUGGGAAAACUGCUUUGCAGUUAUAACUUCUAUCAUUGGCAUGCUACUAUUUUUUUACCUCCUUGGAAACGUACAGAUAUAUAUGCAGCAGGCAAUGAAUAAAUCGUUGGCUGACGAGGAUAAAGCUGAGGACUUAAGACCCAAGAUAGUUGAGAGAAAUAGGGCUAUAAAAAUGUGGAUGGAAAAAUUUGCCCUGCCUGAUGAUUUGAAGAAAACUAUUAUGGGUUUAAUAAGUCGAAAUUUGGAAGGAAAGUUAGAUGGUGAUGUGGAUCUCAAUUUUAUGUUCUAUAAUCUUCCCGAAUAUAACAGAUACUUAUUACAGCGUUAUUUCUGCAGCGAGACGGUGGGGAAAGUAAAGCAACUUCAAACUAUGGGAAAGGAAGAGUUGGAAACGAUCUCCGAG